AUGAACGCUAGCUACAGGCUUAACACAUGCAAGUCGAGGGGCAGCGGUAUCGAAAGCUUGCUUUCGGUAGCCGGCGACCGGCGCACGGGUGAGUAACGCGUAUCGAACCUGCCUCAUACUCGGGAAUAGCCUUGCGAAAGUAAGAUUAAUGCCCGGUGUUUUCAGAGUCCCGCAUGAGGCUUUGAACAAAGAUUUAUCGGUAUGAGAUGGCGAUGCGUCCCAUUAGCUUGUUGGCGGGGUAACGGCCCACCAAGGCAUCGAUGGGUAGGGGUUCUGAGAGGAAGGUCCCCCACAUUGGAACUGAGACACGGUCCAAACUCCUACGGGAGGCAGCAGUGAGGAAUAUUGGUCAAUGGGCGGAAGCCUGAACCAGCCAAGUAGCGUGCAGGAAGACGGCCCUCCGGGUUGUAAACUGCUUUUAGUUGGGAAUAAAACGGGGCUCGUGAGCCCCCUUGCAUGUACCAUCAGAAAAAGGACCGGCUAAUUCCGUGCCAGCAGCCGCGGUAAUACGGAAGGUCCGGGCGUUAUCCGGAUUUAUUGGGUUUAAAGGGAGCGCAGGCGGGCCUUUAAGUCAGCUGUGAAAUACGGCGGCUCAACCGUCGAACUGCAGUUGAUACUGGAGGUCUUGAGUGCACACAGGGAUGCUGGAAUUCAUGGUGUAGCGGUGAAAUGCUCAGAUAUCAUGAAGAACUCCGAUCGCGAAGGCAGGCAUCCGGGGUGCAACUGACGCUGAGGCUCGAAAGUGCGGGUAUCAAACAGGAUUAGAUACCCUGGUAGUCCGCACAGUAAACGAUGAAUACUCGCGGUUUGCGAUACAAUGUAAGCCGCCAAGCGAAAGCGUUAAGUAUUCCACCUGGGGAGUACGCCGGCAACGGUGAAACUCAAAGGAAUUGACGGGGGCCCGCACAAGCGGUGGAGUAUGUGGUUUAAUUCGAAGCAACGCGAAGAACCUUACCAGGCCUUGACAUCCCUUGCAGAGGUAUAGAGAUAUAUCCGAGGUUAUCAAGGAGACAGGUGGUGCAUGGUUGUCGUCAGCUCGUGCCGUGAGGUGUCGGCUUAAGUGCCAUAACGAGCGCAACCCUCAUCCUCGUUUGCCAUCAGGUGAUGCUGGGCACUCCGGGGACACUGCCAUCGUAAGAUGUGAGGAAGGUGGGGAUGACGUCAAAUCAGCACGGCCCUUACGUCCGGGGCUACACACGUGUUACAAUGGGCGGUACAGAGGGCAGCCACUGCGCGAGCAGGAGCCAAUCCUCAAAGCCGUUCUCAGUUCGGACUGGAGUCUGCAACCCGACUCCACGAAGCUGGAUUCGCUAGUAAUCGCGCAUCAGCCAUGGCGCGGUGAAUACGUUCCCGGGCCUUGUACACACCGCCCGUCAAGCCAUGAAAGCCGGGAGCACUUGAAGGCCGUGACCGCAAGGGUCGGUCUAGAGUGAUACUGGUAAUUGGGGCU
rnacentral:rRNA from 1 species